rnacentral:rRNA from 1 species
UACGAAGGGUGCGAGCGUUAUUCGGAAUCACUGGGCGUAAAGGGUGCGUAGACGGUAGGUUAAGUUCGUUGUUAAAGGCUCCAGCCUAACUGGAGUAUUGCAAUGAAAACUGGCUUGCUAGAGGGUGAGAGAGAAGUGGAAUUCCCGGAGUAGCGGUAAAAUGCGUGGAUCUCGGGAGGAACACCAAUGGCGAAGGCAGCUUCUUGGCUCAUUCCUGACGUUGAGGCACGAAAGCGUGGGGAGCAAACAGG